rnacentral:rRNA from 1 species
GUGCCAGCAGCCGCGGUAAUACGAAGGGGGCUAGCGUUGCUCGGAAUUACUGGGCGUAAAGGGUGUGUAGGCGGAUACUUAAGUCGGGGGUGAAAGCCCAGGGCUCAACCCUGGAAUAGCCUUCGAUACUGGGUAUCUUGAGUUCGGGAGAGGUAAGUGGAACUCCGAGUGUAGAGGUGAAAUUCGUAGAUAUUCGGAAGAACACCAGUGGCGAAGGCGACUUACUGGCCCGAUACUGACGCUGAAACACGAAAGCGUGGGGAGCAAACAGGAUUAGAAACCCCUGUAGUCC